rnacentral:rRNA from 1 species
GACGAGCGCUGGCGGCGUGCUUAACACAUGCAAGUCGAACGGAAAGGCACUUCGGGGUACUCGAGUGGCGAACGGGUGAGUAACACGUGGGUGAUCUGCCCUGCACUUUGGGAUAAGCCUGGGAAACUGGGUCUAAUACCGAAUAGGACAACGGCAUUCAUGUGCUGUGGUGGAAAGCUUUUGCGGUGUGGGAUGGGGCCGCGGCCUAUCAGCUUGUUGGUGGGGUAAUGGCCUACCAAGGCGACGACGGGUAGCCGGCCUGAGAGGGUGACCGGCCACACUGGGACUGAGAUACGGCCCAGGCUCCUACGGGAGGCAGCAGUGGGGAAUAUUGCACAAUGGGCGCAAGCCUGAUGCAGCGACGCCGCGUGAGGGAUGACGGCCUUCGGGUUGUAAACCUCUUUCGCCAGGGACGAAGCGCAAGUGACGGUACCUGGAGAAGAAGGACCGGCCAACUACGUGCCAGCCGCCGCCGUAA